GACAAUGGUUGAACGGCACAGAUGGAUGUGACCAUGAUCAAGGUCUGAAUGAACCUACAGAACACAGUGGUGGUAGUAAUGGCAGUAAGAGGAAAGCAGGCCGAACUUCCAAUAGCCUCUCCCACUGUACCGUACCUUGUUCAGAUUCCCCUCUAAGACAAAGCCUACAGCUGGGUUGGCACCAACUGAGACGCGAUCAAAUCUUUUAUCCUGAGGGAUGCAGUGUUUCUGUAAAAAGACUUUACACUCUGCCAAAGCAGAGAUUCUCUCUGCACCAUAAUUUCCAGAUGUGCCACCUUCUCAAGCCCUACUUAGUUUCUGUGUUAUACCUUUCAUAUGUUUGUUGCCCUGGGUCUUGAUACCUAUAUGUUCCUGCUCUAGUUACUGUGACUUGCUGAUCUGCAGGUGCUGGGGAAUAG
ensembl:lncRNA